rnacentral:tRNA from 1 species
GGGGUUGUGGCUCAGCGGUAGAGCACUUGCCUAAUAUGUGUGAAGCCCUGGGUUCGAGCCUCAGCACCA